AUCAGUGCCAUUGCCGCAUUGGCUUUAGCUUUGCCCUUGAACUUGAAAUCUCGUGCCUUAUUCUUUCCUGGGGACUGGUGUUGUAUAUUGAACGGGCGGAGUGACCGCCGGGAUGAUGGAUGAAGGAGAUGAUGGCCUAAACUUGGCUGCGCGCAUUCUCAUUUUCGCGUGGCCUGCCUCUAGUGUUUCGCAGAUUCACAAAGGGUGUCACAGGCAUAGCUGGAGGAAGAAAGGUACUACAGAACUACACGAAUGCGAAACGCGACAAACUCUACAACGUCAUUAGCCUGGAGUUCACCAAGACUAAGUUGGAGCCUCAAGUGGAGUCACCCAGUCUGGUACGUCAUAUGGAUGGAGUGGACUUGGUGUGGCCGGAAACAUUGCGCGCUUUGCAGCAGGAGGCCACCAACCGACUGGUCGACAUGAAAUAUACCAAAGUGCAAAAGUAUGUGUUUUGUUUGUUCUUGUUGAUGGUGCUGCUGCUGCCGCCGGUGUUGCUGUUACUGGCCGACUGCUGGUGCUGUUGAUAGUACUACAGUCCAUUUCAAAACUAUAGACGCGUACCUAGGCAAAAACCGUUAUGCCAGCAUCUAUACCACAUAAAAUCUGUGAUCCCUUUGUGCAUAUUUUUUUCCAAAUUGGGCGUCUGUUAUCCAAUCGCUUAGAAACUAUAUGAGAGUAAUUGUGGAGCGGACCUGAGCAAUAUUCCGAAAACUAUUCUCAAAAAGUUCCAGCCAAAUUUGAAAUAUUUCAAAAACACUACGCGUCUAUAGUUUUGAAAUGGACUGUACAGGUGUAGCUGCCCUAUUGCUGGUGCUUGUGGUGCUGCUGCUGUUGUUGGCUUACUGAUUGUGCUGCUGUUGCUGUAUAAUAACUAUUGGCGUAGAUUUGUGUUAUCGUUUUGCCUUGUAUUCUCUUGUCAAAUGUACACCGUAGAUUCUGUUGAACGAGUAUGAAAGCCAGUAUUCACCUCUGCAAUGUACAAGCAUUUUCCUGUGCAAUGUAUGCUGUAUAUUCUGUUAAUGAGCCUGGGCAACGUGCGCUGUAGAUUCUGUUGAACUAGUAUGAAAGCCGAUUUCGCGAGGACAAGGCCACUGGAUAUUUAAUGCUCAUACCGGGAAUACAAUCUGAGAAUCUGCGUGUGUCGCCCGCACCAAUACCUGACAACAUUGUGGAAAUAGUGGCAGUUGAAACAGAGAUUGUAUGCAAGUCCUCAGCUGCUACUGCAUCUCCAAGAAAGACAGCAGGUAUAUCAUCUCGUGACGACCACAUUGAAGUCUGAAUUUGAAGUGCGAAGAUGCUUCAGCAACCACAUCGUACUUUUCCAUUGCUUUCAUUGUGCUUCUACUGUGCAGGUGUGUAACUUGUGGGGUAUAUAUGUGAUGACAUUGUAUACUGGCGACACAGUCAGAUUUUGUCCAUGCGUGUAACGUACACCUGCAUGUUAUGCAUUAAAAAGGAUCUGCCACUUGCGAUCCUGGGACAAGUAUCAGGUCAGCUUUGUCUUGUGUGGGCUGUACCAGAUUGCUGUUCACUUUUCCAUCUGUUGGAUAUGUGACUUUCUGCAAGUCUCUGGUGUAUGGUGGCCACUUCUUUGCUUGUCACUUUGUAUGAUAUUACAUUCUGUAUUCGCUGCUUCCAUGGCGUGGUCUGCAAACUGCAAUCCUUGGGCAAAUGUCAUGUUUGCUAUGUUGUGCUUUGGCCGUCAGCUUGUCUACACGUUGUAGUUGAAUUAUUUUGUUCCACAACUGACUUCCUUUUAAAAGUACAGUGGUCACUGCUUUGCAUGGCAUUUUACAUGAAGAAUUUCCUGUUUGUGU